AUACGUAGGUGACAAGCGUUAUCCGGAUUUACUGGGCGUAAAGGGCGUGUAGGCGGUCUUGCAAGUCAGAAGUGAAAUUCCUGAGCUCAACUCGGGCGCUGCUUCUGAAACUGCAGGACUUGAGUGCUGGAGGGGAUAGCGGAAUUCCUAGUGGAGCGGUAAAAUGCGCAGAUAUUAGGAAGAACACCGGUGGCGAAGGCGGCUAUCUGGACAGUAACUGACGCUGAGGCGCGAAAGUGUGGGGAGCAAACAGGAUUAGAUACCCUGGUAGUCCACACUGUAAAUGAUGAAUGCUAGGUGUAGGGGGUAUCGACCCCUUCUGUGCCGCAGUCAACACAACAGGCAUUCCGCCUGGGGAGUACGGCCGCAAGGUUGAAACUCAAAUGAAUUGACGGGG
rnacentral:rRNA from 1 species